AAUCUGCGAUAAGCGUCGGUAAGGUGAUAUGAACCGUUAUAACCGGCGAUUUCCGAAUGGGGAAACCCAGUGUGUUUCGACACACUAUCAUUAACUGAAUCCAUAGGUUAAUGAGGCGAACCGGGGGGAACUGAAACAUCUAAGUACCCCGAGGAAAAGAAAUCAACCGAGAUUCCCCCAGUAGCGGCGAGCGAACGGGGAGCAGCC
rnacentral:rRNA from 1 species